AGAUGAGGUUUCCCAUAGCGAAAAGCUAGUAAGACCCCUGGAAGACUACCAGGUAGAUAGGCCGGGAGUGUAAGCUGGGCAACCAGUUCAGCUGACCGGUACUAAUAGGUCGAGGGCUUGACCUG
rnacentral:rRNA from 1 species